rnacentral:rRNA from 1 species
UCCUGGCUCAGGAUGAACGCUGGCGGCGUGCCUAAUACAUGCAAGUCGAACGAGUUUUGGUCGAUGAACGGUGCUUGCACUGAGAUUCGACUUAAAACGAGUGGCGGACGGGUGAGUAACACGUGGGUAACCUGCCCUUAAGUGGGGGAUAACAUUUGGAAACAGAUGCUAAUACCGCAUAAAUCCAAGAACCGCAUGGUUCUUGGCUGAAAGAUGGCGUCAAGCUAUCGCUUUUGGAUGGACCCGCGGCGUAUUAGCUAGUUGGUGAGGUAACGGCUCACCAAGGCGAUGAUACGUAGCCGAACUGAGAGGUUGAUCGGCCACAUUGGGACUGAGACACGGCCCAAACUCCUACGGGAGGCAGCAGUAGGGAAUCUUCCACAAUGGACGCAAGUCUGAUGGAGCAACGCCGCGUGAGUGAAGAAGGCUUUCGGGUCGUAAAACUCUGUUGUUGGAGAAGAAUGGUCGGCAGAGUAACUGUUGUCGGCGUGACGGUAUCCAACCAGAAAGCCACGGCUAACUACGUGCCAGCAGCCGCGGUAAUACGUAGGUGGCAAGCGUUAUCCGGAUUUAUUGGGCGUAAAGCGAGCGCAGGCGGUUUUUUAAGUCUGAUGUGAAAGCCCUCGGCUUAAC